rnacentral:rRNA from 1 species
UAGGGAAUCUUCGGCAAUGGACGAAAGUCUGACCGAGCAACGCCGCGUGUGUGAAGAAGGUCUUCGGAUUGUAAAGCACUUUCGACGGGGACGAUGAUGACGGUACCCGUAGAAGAAGCCCCGGCUAACCUCGUGCCAU